rnacentral:sRNA from 1 species
UGUGAAAUUUGGAGUAAAUUGACAGAUUUUCAGAAUAAAAUGUUUCUUUUUUCUCUGUACAUGUUAAAAAUACACUUUGUAUUGAUACUUUCAUGUGCCAUCACUAAUAUUACAUAUAUAGCAUAUUAAAGCGUGACAUUUUAAACCAUUGUUAAAUUAUUCAACAGGGACUAAAUAGGAAUAGCUUGCCAACUCCACAGCUGAGGAGGAGCUCAGGAACUUCAGGAUUGCUACCUGUUGAACAGUCUUCAAGGUGGGAUCGUAAUAAUGGCAAAAGGCCUCACCAAGAAUUUGGCAUUUCAAGUCAAGGAUGCUAUCUGAAUGGGCCUUUUAAUUCAAAUCUACUGACUAUCCCGAAGCAAAGGUCAUCUUCUGUAUCACUGACUCACCAUGUAGGUCUCAGAAGAGCUGGUGUUUUGUCCAGUCUGAGUCCUGUGAAUUCUAACCAUGGACCAGUGUCUACUGGCUCUCUAACUAAUCGAUCACCCGUAGAAUUUCCUGAUACUGCUGAUUUUCUUAACAAGCCAAGCGUUAUCUUGCAGAGAUCUCUGGGCAAUACACCUAAUACUCCAGAUUUUUAUCAGCAGCUUAGAAAUUCUGAUAGCAAUCUGUGUAACAGCUGUGGACAUCAAAUGCUGAAAUAUGUUUCAACAUCUGAAUCAGAUGGUACAGAUUGCUGCAGUGGAAAGU